rnacentral:rRNA from 1 species
GUGAACGCUGGCGGUAGGCCUAACACAUGCAAGUCGAACGGCAGCACAGUAAGAGCUUGCUCUUACGGGUGGCGAGUGGCGGACGGGUGAGGAAUACAUCGGAAUCUACUUUUUCGUGGGGGAUAACGUAGGGAAACUUACGCUAAUACCGCAUACGACCUACGGGUGAAAGCAGGGGAUCUUCGGACCUUGCGCGAUUGAAUGAGCCGAUGUCGGAUUAGCUAGUUGGCGGGGUAAAGGCCCACCAAGGCGACGAUCCGUAGCUGGUCUGAGAGGAUGAUCAGCCACACUGGAACUGAGACACGGUCCAGACUCCUACGGGAGGCAGCAGUGGGGAAUAUUGGACAAAGGGCGCAAGCCUGAUCCAGCCAUACCGCGUGGGUGAAGAAGGCCUUCGGGUUGUAAAGCCCUUUUGUUGGGAAAGAAAAGCAGCAGGUUAAUACCCCGCUGUUCUGACGGGACCCAAAGAAUAAGCACCGGCUAACUUCGUG